UCUCCGUUGGUGAACCAGCGGAGGGAUCAUUACCGAGUUUACAACUCCCAAACCCCUGUGAACAUACCUAUCGUUGCCUCGGCGGUGCCCGCUCCGGCGGCCCGCCAGAGGACCCCCAAACUCUUGUUUUAUACAGUAUCUUCUGAGUAACACGAUUAAAUAAAUCAAAACUUUCAACAACGGAUCUCCUGGUUCUG
rnacentral:misc_RNA from 1 species